rnacentral:rRNA from 1 species
AGAGUUUGAUCCUGGCUCAGAACGAACGCUGGCGGCAUGCCUAACACAUGCAAGUCGAACGUGAUCCGGGGCUUGCUCCGGUGAAAGUGGCGGACGGGUGAGUAACGCGUGGGAACCUGCCCAGUGGUCGGGGAUAACUGCGGGAAACUGCAGCUAAUACCCGGUAAGCCCUACGGGGGAAAGAUUUAUCGCCAUUGGAGGGGCCCGCGUCGGAUUAGGUAGUUGGUGGGGUAAAGGCCUACCAAGCCUUCGAUCCGUAGCUGGUCUGAGAGGAUGAUCAGCCACACUGGGACUGAGAUACGGCCCAGACUCCUACGGGAGGCAGCAGUGGGGAAUAUUGGACAAUGGGCGCAAGCCUGAUCCAGCAAUGCCGCGUGAGUGAAGAAGGCCUUAGGGUUGUAAAGCUCUUUCGGCGGGGACGAUGAUGACGGUACCCGCAGAAGAAGCCCCGGCUAACUCCGUGCCAGCAGCCGCGGUAAUACGGAGGGGGCUAGCGUUGUUCGGAAUUACUGGGCGUAAAGGGCGCGUAGGCGGCGCGAUAAGUUGGGCGUGAAAGGCCCGGGCUCAACCCGGGGACUGCGCUUGAUACUGUCGCGCUGUGAGUCCGGGAGAGGAUGGCGGAAUUCCCAGUGUAGAGGUGAAAUUCGUAGAUAUUGGGAAGAACACCGGUGGCGAAGGCGGCCAUCUGGACCGGCACUGACGCUGAGGCGCGAAAGCGUGGGGAGCAAACAGGAUUAGAUACCCUGGUAGUCCACGCCGUAAACGAUGCGUGCUAGACGUUGGGGGGCUUGCCCUUCGGU